rnacentral:lncRNA from 1 species
GGUGAGUAAAGAAAGAAAUGGGAGGGGGCUUUAAAAUGACAGGAUAUAGCAUUAAGCAUGGUUGAACCAGACUUAAACGUUGGCCCUGCCAGCCUUCCUGAAAAUGGAACAUUAUAGCCUUGCAAAAUCUGGAUUUCACAGUGAGAAAAAAAUCAAACAUAACACUUCUCACUCUGAAUCACUUUACCCAAAAGAGGGUUUUGAAUUGAAACCCUCAUUACUGCCAAUAACUGAGUUUACCUAAAUAAUCUCUAGCACUUUGGAAAGAGGGUAAGGCCACUGCUGUUUGGCAGAUUUAAAAAAGGCAGGAGUUGUGUCCUAGAGAAACCUUUUCUUCCCUUGAACUUUUUCAGAAAAGCUUUCCUGCUUUGGGCCCUCAUCUCCAGAGGAAUCCAUUGUGCAAAAUGUAGAAUACGGACCUAUAGAAAUAUUGGCUUAUUAACAUGUAUUUUUCUUUGGCAUUGCCCAUGCAUGCGCUAAAUGCAGACUUUUCAUUUUUGGGAAGGGUAAGGUGAGCUAUUUAAAUUUACUUGAUUUCAGGAAAUAUCCACAGAGACAUCCUAGACCCUCAAGAACCUUGCAUCUGUGUUCAAACAGUUGAAUUUAAACAAACAGUUGUGGAAGCCGGAAGUUCAAAAUCAAGAUGUCAGCAGUGUGUGUCAGUUCCUUCUGGAGUCUCGAGGAAGGAUCCGUUGUAUGAGUCUCUCCUUCCCUCUGUGCUGCAACUCCUGAAACCUGAAGUCUGUGACUCACCAGUUCUAAGCCCCAGAGUCCUGAUGGGGCACCUCAAGGAGACACUUCAGCCACCUAAGUCAGCUGGACCACCCCAUGACACAGUCAUGGAGGUUCCAGUCUGAAUUCAGAGUCAAUGAUAAGGGAGGCUUCCGUGGCAGAGUGAAAAGCACACACCUGAGAAAUGAAAAGAAAUGGCAAAGGUCACACGUCUCAGGAUGAAUUGCACUGUGUGUGACACCCUAGCUGAAAUCCUAUCCCACAGGACCAUCAGGUCCACGAGAGAAGAGGUGUGCUCAGGAGGGCUGACUGGAAGUCUGAAGACAGCAUGGCAUACAACCAAUGGGUGGAGAGCAGGAGCCAGAGAUGACAUAUGGGAUGAGGCCUUCAUUAAAGUCCAUGGGUAUUAUCCAUCAGGCUUUCCUGUAGGGAUUGUGGAUUGGUCAAUUUAAAGAAAACACUUGUGAACAGGAGUACUUAUCUACAUGAUUCUGACAUUGAUCAUUGAGUUUUAUCAUGGACAGUAGCUGUGGGAUUUUAGGCUAGUGAGAUAGGAAUAAGCAGGCCAUAUUGCAAACAACAACAGGGGCAAGAAAAGUUUUAACUAGUCCAAAGGUGAAGGAAUAUAAACAGGUUUCCAACAGUGGAUACCAGGCCUAAAAAUGGAUGCCAAGGCAACAACUAUAUUAAACAACUUUAUGACACAUACAUUUGUCAUAUAAAUAGUCAGUCCUCUUGUAUGUAGAGAAAAAGAAUAAUGAUUAAUAUGUAACAUGUUCAGAUUUUUGCCUAAUGGAUCUGCUUUUAAGUGAAGAGGUUACAUAUUCUAAUCUGCUCUAUAAGCCACAGUCUCUGUACUUGCUAACUAUUAUUUCACCUUUAUAAUGGCCCUCUGAGGUCAGUUGUAUCGUUUUUUUUUAACAGUUAAGAAAAUGGAAACUGAGGCUGCAAGAUGUAAAGUGAUUCCAAAGAUUAGUGAAAUGCACAACUUUUCCACUAUAUGAGGCUGGCCUAAAGAAUUCCUCAAAAGAUGUGGAGUAGGAGUAGCUUUGCAUUUAUUAUGAAGUCCCACAGGCACAAAGUGCCCUCUAAAGGCAUGAUUUUUUUUUCCUGACAAUUUUUAUUGGGUCAGGACAUAAUAACAUGACAUUUUUAUGGGACUUUCAUCUCAGAAUCCCAAAGCAAUCCCAAAGCACUUAGAACACAUUAUUUAGCUCUCACAACUUAAAAGGUAGGUAGCAAAUUAUUUUGAUAGGAAAUUAACUAUAAUAAGGCUGGCAACAACAGCAUAACAAGUGCUAGUGAAUUGCCUUAAAGGAAUGCAAAGGAUUCAUAUACAUUUCCUAGGUUAGAGGAGAGGCUACUUAUUAAAGGAAAGUGGAGUGGGAACAAGAUUUGAGAAGAUUUAGGAUCUCUUUCCAUGGGUGGAUGUCUUAGAGGUAGCAAUGUUUCUUGUGCUGUGAUUAGUGAGGUUGACUAUUAACUCUCAACAAACAUAUGGUCAUGUCUUCAAAAAUAAUUUUUUUGAAAAUAUAGCUAAAGAGUAGAGUUAUGGACAUCAUUCAGUUCAACAUUUAUUUUACACCACUAUAUAAAGCUUGUGGGAUGGAUAAGAUUUGGCUAUUUUUUAAAACAUUAUUUCUUGUCUACUCCUAUGCAUGGCAUCUGAGUAGAAAAUGCUGAAAUGAGUUUUUCCUAUGCCAAUAUUCCAAGAUAUCUCUUUUCUACUGUAAUGAUAGCAAUAUUUAUUGAAAGGCACAUUUGUCUUUUCACUUCCCUCUUUACUGAAGCCUUGAGAAUAAUUCCCAAAUAGAAUCAUAGCGUUCCAUUAAUCUGAGAAACUCUUAUGAUUACUCUAUUAUAAAGUAGUAACUGGGUUAUCCCCUGAAUAAUUAAGAAUCAUUAACUUAGUCCAGGUCAUUAAAGAUGAUCUGAUGUGGAAGACAGGUGAAUUUACUCAAGUAAAACAGAAACACACAGAGAUAAGUGGCUACCAAAGUUCCCACAGCUAAAUGCUGGUGGAGAUGGGAUUCACCCUUUGAUCUCUGACUCAAAUCUGGUGCUCUUUCUCAUUCAUCCCACUGAUAAAGAAAAAUGGUUUUGAUUUUACUUUCUUUUUGCCAAGGGCUUAUGCAAUUAACUUAUUGUGUACAAUUGAUAGGGACAGGGGGCAGAGAAAUUCUAGGCAGAAAAAGGCAGGUCCCCAGCAAAACCCCACGCUGAAGCUGGAAAGCCUGAAACCAUGGCCCAAAGUGAGAACCUAUGUCUCUGUUUUCCUAUUUGAAUGUUGUCUUUUCCUAAUCCACCCAUGGCUCUCCUCCACCUUAUCCUGUGCCUAUAAAAACCCCAGACUCAGCCAGCAGAUGAGACUAUGGCUGGACAUCAGAGAGAAGCAGCUUGACUUCAGAGGGACAGCUAGACCAUAUAACUUUGGAGAACAAUCUGGCUGGAUAUGGCUGGACUUCAGGGAAAGAUUACCUAUCCACCCCAUGCAUUUUUGAGCUCCCCUUCCCACUGACAGCCACUUUCAUUGGCAAUAAAAUCCCCCUCAUUUACCAUCUUUCAAUUUGUUCACGCAACCUCAUUUUUCUGGAUGCCAGACAAGAGCUCAGGAGCCGCAAGUGCAGAUACAAAAGGCUGUCACACUAGCCCUUUGCCCUUGCUGGCAGGGGGCAGCUGUCUCACGCAAAAAGGCAGAGGACCCAUAAAAAAUGAUGAGUUCAUGUCCUUUGUAGGGACAUAGAUGAAAUUGGAAACCAUCAUUCUCAGUAAACUAUCGCAAGAACAAAAAAACCAAACACCGUAUAUUCUCACUCAUAGGUGGGAAUUGAACAAUGAGAUCACAUGGACACAGGAAGGGG